UGGGGAAUUUUCCGCAAUGGGCGAAAGCCUGACGGAGCAAUACCGCGUGAGGGAGGAAGGCUUUUGGGUUGUAAACCUCUUUUAUUAAGGAAGAAGAAAGUGACGGUACUUAAAGAAUCAGCAUCGGCUAACUCCGUGCCAGCAGCCGCGGUAAUACGGAGGAUGCAAGCGUUAUCCGGAAUCAUUGGGCGUAAAGCGUCCGCAGGUGGCUAAUCAAGUCUGCUGUUAAAGACGGAAGCUUAACUUCUGAAAAGCAGUGGAAACUGGUAAGCUAGAGUACGGUAGGGGUUGAGGGAAUUCCUAGUGUAGCGGUGAAAUGCGUAGAGAUUAGGAAGAACACCGGUGGCGAAAGCGCUCUGCUAGGCCGCAACUGACACUGAGGGACGAAAGCUAGGGGAGCGAAUGGGAUUAGAAACCCCUGUAGUCC
rnacentral:rRNA from 1 species